rnacentral:rRNA from 1 species
AACGAACGCUGGCGGCAGGCUUAACACAUGCAAGUCGAGCGCCUCGCAAGAGGAGCGGCAGACGGGUGAGUAACGCGUGGGAAUCUACCUAGUUCUACGGAACAACACAGGGAAACUUGUGCUAAUACCGUAUGCGCCCUACGGGGGAAAGAUUUGUCGGAAUUAGAUGAGCCCGCGUAAGAUUAGCUAGUUGGUGGGGU